rnacentral:misc_RNA from 1 species
GUUCGAACUUAGACAACUUUUUAAAGGAAUAUUUUUCUACGACACUUGACAGUCCUAUAUUAAUUUUAUCGUAAAUCUGUGUUGUAUAUACACUGUCGCGUAGCAGUAGGCAGUUAGUAAUACAACGAUGUGUAAUUUAUAAAAGACAUUUAUUUAUUAUUCGAUACUAGAUUGUCGAUACAAAUUGGUGUGUGAAAAAUGGACUCGCAGGAGGGAACUCAGUGCCACAUCCUGGCCGUCGUAAUUCGGGUGUGUGUGGUUAGCGCGUUAACGUACUACACUGCCAAAUGGAUGAUCAAUGUGCUGGAUCCCAAUAAUAAGAUUCGGGGUAAGGCGAAAUAUGUGGCGGAAGAGCAGCUGCGCAAGCUGAACUCCUCGGCGAUUGGCGCGGCAAAGAAGUUUCGAGCCCGUGACUUUAAUGAGCACGAGAUGAUGAUCGCUUCGCAUCUGGUGACUCCUGAGGACAUCGAUAUAAGUUGGUCGGAUAUAGCUGGACUGGAUGGGACUAUCCAGGAGCUCAGGGAGACGGUGGUUCUCCCAGUGCGUCAUCGUAAACUCUUUAGCCGAUCGAAACUGUGGCGAGCGCCCAAGGGAGUCCUGCUGCAUGGGCCUCCUGGUUGUGGCAAGACCCUGAUCGCCAAGGCCAUUGCCAAGGAUGCUGGGAUGCGAUUCAUAAAUCUGGACGUGGGUGUGCUAACGGACAAGUGGUACGGCGAAAGCCAGAAGCUGGCCACGGCCGUUUUCACGUUGGCCAAAAAACUUCAGCCCUGCAUCAUCUUCAUAGACGAAAUCGAAUCUUUUCUCAGGAUGCGGGGUAGCAACGAUCAUGAGGCCACCGCCAUGAUAAAGACUCAGUUUAUGUUGCAGUGGGAUGGGUUAAUGAGCAAUACCAACAUUUGUGUCCUUGUUUUGGGGGCCACAAACCGGCCGCAAGACCUCGAUAAAGCCAUCCUACGCCGUAUGCCCGCACAAUUUCACAUUGGAGUGCCGCGAGACUGCCAGCGACUGGAAAUCCUUCAGUUGAUCCUCCAGACAGAGCAACUGUGUCCUUCGGUUAAUCUGAAGGAACUGGCCCGCUUGACGACUGGGUUUUCAGGAUCCGAUUUACGGGAAUUGUGUCGCCACGCAUCCUUGUACCGUAUGCGCCAGUUUAUGCGAGAAAAGCUCAACACCGGCGAGAAAAUUGGAAAGGGCAAGAUUGAAUGGGACUUCGAGGUAAAGGAUCAUGCUUUGCAGGAGUGGGAGCACUUGGAAAUCCAAAUGGACGACCUUCUCAAGUCGCUGUCCGUCAUGAAGGCGUCCAAACAUCAGGCGCAGGGCACUUUUGUCGAAAAGGAUCUGGAGUUGGACUGAGGACUACGUAUUGGUUUUCUCUUGUCGUAUCUGGAAGAUUUCUUUGUAUAAGCCAAAUUUUAUAUCAAUUAAUAUUUUAAUCUCUGAAGCGUCAAGCCUCCUUCAAAAAAGUGUACUUGUCUUGCUCCCAGCGACUUGUGCUUCGCCAUUAUCUUCCGGCUAGUUCUAUUUUACGAGACUACCCUCUUUAUACCUCCUGCCCAGUUACCAACACCCCAAACUGUCAGCCCGACCAAUAUUUUUCACAUUUCAUGGCAUGCAUGAAGAGUUUUUGCAGCCAUGAAGAGCGGCGAGAUAUCUGAAAAAAGGUCUGCAACCAGGAACGGCUGCGAAAGAACAGCACCAGCACAGUGGCAACAAAAACUCAAAAUAACAACAGCUACGACAGCAACAACAAAAAAUCUUUUAUGUAAAAUUGAAUAUUCAUAAGUUGAUUCACAGAAGCGGCAGAAGCCUAACUACGGACCUCAGCCUCCGCCUCGUUUGCUUCAGAAUUACUCUUGCGAAGAGUGUUUUUAUUUUUAUCAUGCAUAUGCAAUUCAGUAGUAAAGAAGUUAAUUAAUAAAGUCGGUAUAUGGAAAAUGUUCUUUAAAAA